AGCGCCGCGACGCUCAGGAAAUUGCGGCUGACGAAUCGAUAGCUCGACGAAAGCGCGCCGAACAUGCUGCGCCGGUCUUCCACGACGGCGCGCACCUUGGCGUAGUCGAACACGAGGUUUGCGGACACGAUCAGGAUUCCGAAAAGCGCGUAGAGACCUGCGCGGAUCAUGAACGCCGUCCGUUCGACGGUCUCAUUCCGGGUGAGCUCUCCGAAC
rnacentral:misc_RNA from 1 species